UUCGCAAUGCCCGAAAGGGUGACGAAGCGACGCCGCGUGGGUGAGGAAGGCCUUCGGGUUGUAAAGCCCUGUCAGGAGUUAAGAAAUAUAAGUGCGCUAAUAUCGCAUUUAUUUGACGAAGGCUCCAAAGGAAGCCACGGCUAACUCUGUGCCAGCAGCCGCGGUAAUACAGAGGUGGCAAGCGUUGUUCGGAAUUAUUGGGCGUAAAGAGGACGUAGGUGGGUUUGUAAGUCAGAUGUGAAAGCCUUCUGUUCAACGGAAGAAUUGCAUCUGAAACUACAAGUCUUGAGUGUAGGAGGGGAGAAUGGAACUUCUGGUGGAGCGGUGAAAUGCGUAGAUAUCAGAAGGAACGCCGGCGGCGAAAGCGAUUCUCUGGCCUAUUACUGACACUCAGUGUGCGAAAGCUAGGGGAGCAAACGGGAUUAGAUACCCCGGUAGUCCUAGCUGUAAACGAUGGGCACUAAGUAGAGGGGUUUU
rnacentral:rRNA from 1 species